rnacentral:rRNA from 1 species
CAGCCGCCACGGUAAUACGUAGGGUGCGAGCGUUAAUCGGAAUUACUGGGCGUAAAGCGUGCGCAGGCGGUUUUGUAAGACAGGCGUGAAAUCCCCGGGCUCAACCUGGGAAUGGCGCUUGUGACUGCAAAGCUAGAGUGCGGCAGAGGGGGAUGGAAUUCCGCGUGUAGCAGUGAAAUGCGUAGAUAUGCGGAGGAACACCGAUGGCGAAGGCAAUCCCCUGGGCCUGCACUGACGCUCAUGCACGAAAGCGUGAGGAGCAAACAGGAUUAGAUACCCCAGUAGUCCCUGUCUCUUAUAC